rnacentral:rRNA from 1 species
CCUACGGGAGGCAGCAGUGGGGGAUAUUGCACAAUGGGGGGAACCCUGAUGCAGCGACGCCGCGUGGGUGAAGAAGCGCCUCGGCGCGUAAAGCUCUGUCUGCAGGGAAGAAAAUGACGGUACCUGAAGAAGAAGCCCCGGCUAACUACGUGCCAGCAGCAGCGGUUAUACGGAGGGGGCAAGCGUUAUCCGGAUUUACUGGGUGUAAAGGGGGCGUAGUCGGCGUUGCAAGCCAGUAGUGAAAGGCCGGGGCCCAACCCCGGGACUGCCCUUGGAACUGCGUGGCUGGAGUGCAGGAGGGGCAGGCGGAAUUCGUGGUGUAGCGGUGAAAUGCGUAGAUAUCAGGAGGAACACCGGUGGCGAAGGCAGCCUGCUGGACUGCAACUGACGUUGAGGCCCGAAAGCGUGGGGAGCAAACAGGAUUAGAUACCCUAGUAGUC